rnacentral:sRNA from 1 species
CAUGCCCCUUAUACGCUGGGCUACACACGUGCUACAAUGGGUAGAACAGAGAGUCGCAAAGCUGUGAAGUGGAGCUAAUCUCAGAAAACUAUUCUUAGUUCGGAUUGUACUCUGCAACUCGAGUACAUGAAGUUGGAAUCGCUAGUAAUCGCGAAUCAGCAAUGUCGCGGUGAAUACGUUCUCGGGUCUUGUACACACCGCCCGUCACACCACGAGAGUUGGUUGCACCUGAAGUAGCAGGCCUAACCGUAAGGAGGGAUGCUCCGAGGGUGUGAUUAGCGAUUGGGGUGAAGUCGUAACAAGGUAUCCGUACGGGAACGUGCGGAUGGAUCACCUCCUUUCUAAGGAGUAUAAGUCUUUCUCUAUUCUAUUGGUAAUGUUCUUUACAUUACUUCUGAACAUUGGAAACUAUAUAGUAGAACAAACAAGAAAACAAAAAUUAACUCUAACAAUUUCUUAGAGUUAGCUGUCAAAAAAAAUAGGUUAAAAUAAUUAAGGGCACACAAAGGAUGCCUAGGUAGUAAGAGCCGAUGAAGGACGUGGUAAGCUGCGAUAAGCCUAG